GUGUCUGUAGCCUAGUGGUAAAAGGCAGCACUCUAGAUGCUGAGGUUGUGGGUUUGAAUCCCACUAGACACA
rnacentral:tRNA from 1 species